rnacentral:lncRNA from 1 species
AAUGAGGGUUGCUACAAGUGUGGUAAGACUCAUCACAUGAUCAAGAACUAUCCUAAAUAGGAAACGGAGUGGAAGAAAGAAUGGGUUGAAUGAAGAAACAGGAAGAAGGAACAUGUUCAACCAAAAAAAAACAAAGGUUCAACCAAGGCUAUGGUUGUUUCCUAGGGAGAAACCAUAAAUGAAGACUCAGAAGAUGAAGCUGAAGAUGAGCAAGCACUUAUGGCCAAUGCAGAAUCAG